rnacentral:misc_RNA from 1 species
AACUGAUACUACCUGCGGGAACCUGCGGAGGGAUCAUUACUGAAGUGAUUUGGGGAUGUUGCUGGCCCUCUCUCAAGGGGGGGCACUGUGCACUCCUCGAAACAAUUCACAAUUUCCAUCACACCCCUUGUGCACACCUUGUAGGCACCCAAACCCACCUCUGGGUGGUGGGGUCCUAUGUAUUCCUUCAUCUCACACUCUGUUGAAUGGUGCCAUGGGACGCAUCUAAAGGAUUAUUUG